UAGUAACUAAAUCAAAUACCAUUUUUAUAUAAAAGAUUCAAGUCUAUUUGGAUAGAACACAACCUUCACUCUCCACAAAAUCAAAAGAAAAACUAAAAGCUGCUUCAAUAAAAGUUGAAGACUUCUCAAUUGUCGAUUACAACUACAUAUUGCAAAAGCUUAAAAUACAAUUAUUUCAAAAUGCUCGAUCUCGAUAUAUAUAACCCUGAAAAAGGGUUUUGCACACUUGACAUACAAUGUCUACAGUCUACACCAUUAUCAAAGCCUGUUCAGGUCUGUACUUCUCGACGAAAUUGUUUCAAAACUAAAACUUGUCUCUAUAUUCAACUAAUACACUGUGUAAAUAAAUUUCCAAAAUUCUCUGUUUCACAAUAAUAGCAAUACUAACUAAGAAACUACAAAGACUACAGUUUCCAAUCAGUAUUCUCCUAAUGAAAAAUAAUCAUAAUUUACAAAUCCUAAUUAAUAUUCUACUAUAAAAACAAACUGGGGCAUUAAAAAUUAAUCAAAAAUAUAAAAAGCUUAGACAAUAAUCAUAAACAUUUGAAAAAAAAGGGAAUAAAGAGAGUAAAUACCAGGACGAGAUGGGGGUUUAGGAGAAAAGAUGGUGAGAGAAGAACGCUUGUGUUGGGAUCGGAUCUGGCACUCCCCCCCUCUCUCUCUCUCAAUUGCUCCACCAGUUUCGACCUUGUUAUCAUCUCUUUUCUUGUUCAUCAAAGAUUUUCGAGCUGCCAAUUCAAUUACUGUUUCUUGUUUCGCUUAGCAGAUUUGUCAAUCUUAUAGUUCGAGUAAAUUAUAACUUAGUCACUAUAUUUUUAAGCAAUAAAUAAAUUAGUUCCUCUAGUUCAAGCAACCCCAUAUUUAUUUUUUAUAUUUUCAUACCCAUUUAUAAUUUAGCCUCUCACACACUGCAUGUUUUGCUUGAUUGUCCUUGGACUUGAGCUCUUUGGCUCCGUUCUAGGUUCUGAAAUAGUCCAUUUUUCAUU
rnacentral:lncRNA from 1 species